GGCCGGUUAGCUCAGUCAGUUGAGCAUGGCAUUAACAACGCCAAGUACGCCGGUUCGAUUCCCGUUCGGUCC
rnacentral:tRNA from 1 species